rnacentral:rRNA from 1 species
UACGGGGGGGGCAAGCGUUGUUCGGAAUUACUGGGCGUAAAGGGUUUGUAGGUGGCCAACUAAGUCAGACGUGAAAUCCCUCAGCUUAACUGGGGAACUGCGUCUGAUACUGGUUGGCUUGAGUGCAGGAGAGGAACGCGGAAUUCCAGGUGUAGCGGUGAAAUGCGUAGAUAUCCGGAGGAACACCGGUGGCGAAGGCGGCUUCCUGGACCGAUUACUGACGCUGAGGCGCGAAAGCUAGGGGAGCAAACGGG